ACGUCUGCGGUGUUACCCACGACUGCCUGGGACCUGGCCAAGGGCUCCACACACCAAGACCAAGGCAGCAGGAAGGAGAAAGGAGGGAAGGUAAAAGACUACUGAAAAGCUUUCAGCUGGGGCUGGGCAUGGAGGCUCACACCUGUAAUCCCAACACUUUGGGAAGCCGAGGCUGGUGGAUCACUUGAGCCCAGGAGUCUGAGACCAGCCUGGCCAACAUGGCAAAACCCUGUCGCUACAAAAAAUACAAGAAUUAGCCAUGUGCACCUGUGGUCCCAGCUCCCAGGGCCGGGAGCCUGAAACCAAGGUGUCCACAGGGCCCUGCUGCCCCCAGAGGCUCUGGGCAGAGCCCUUCCGCCUUUCCAGCUCCCCCUGGUUCCCGUGCUCCUCGGCCUGUGGCCCCAUCACUCUGGCCUCUGCCUUCAUCUCAUGCCGAGAUCCCUGAAGCGGGCCCAGCUCCGUUCACUGCUCCCCCGGCCUCCUGCUGUUUCCCACACGCAGCCAUGGUACAGGGCAGCUCAUCCCACCACCUCCCCAACCGCAGCCUCCAGGGAUGUACACCCUGCCUCAGGGGCUGUGCCUGGGCCCUGGCUGGUGGAGGGCACAGCCGUCAGGGAAGGCCCUCAGCUGCAGGAUGCCGUGCCUCAGAGACCAACCAGGCCCUCGAAGGCACUGUGGCCGGCCCAGAUGUCAGCAGCUCCAGCAAUUAGGCUGGGACAGAUGGUGCCUGGUGACACAAGGGGACUGUGGGGGCCACAGGGGACCCUGCUCACCUGGACCUACCGUGGAGGCCAGGGAGGGAGAUGGACUCGAAGGGCGGAAGGGCCCAGAGAAGGCACAUUUGCAGAGCAGCGGCCGCAUUUCCAGAGCUCGGGAGCCCAACAGGAAUCCCGUCUGGCCAUGGGACCACCGCCCUUGGGGCUGGGGGAUGCCGCAGGGGACGGCAGAGGGCAGACAGGCCAGGAAAAGGGGAGGGCAGAGGGCAGACAGGCCAGGAAGAGCGCCUGCAAGUGCCCAAGGAAGGGACCAAACCCAGGCCCCUGGACCAGAGCGGCCGCCUGGUGGGGCAGGCUGGAAGGGGCCAAGGCCAGCGCCAAGGGGGAGCAGGUGAGGGACCCUGGUGGGCAUCUGUGGGAACAAGGCCACGUUUCUCCCUGCGCACGCUUUAAUCAAGGACAUUCCUGUGGUUCUCCAAAAGUGUCGCACACUACAUGGGUGUCGUGAGCUGGGCUCCGUGAGAGUGUGCGGGUGGCUGGGGGCAGCAAGGGAGCAGCAAGGCCUCAAACCCGGGCGGCGGCCUGGCCUGCGCGCCAGGAUGUGCGGUGUGAGUUUCCCGAGCUGCAGGAACAAGGUCCACAGACUGGGGAGCUUCACACAACAGAAACUGCCUCGCAGUUCCCGAGGCCAGAGCCCAUCGGGGUGGCUCCCUGAGGCCGUGAGCCCGGACUGUCCUGGGCCGCCCCCUCUUCCACAGGCUGAGAUCAUCCUUGGCGUCUGUUGGCCUGCGGCCGCCUCGCCCAACCUCUGCCCUCAUGUCCACACGGGUCCUCCCUGUGUGCAUGUUGGUGUCUGGAUCUGCCCUUUCUACUGUGGGGCAACUGUCGUCGAGGAUAGGGCCCACCACACAACACGGCCUCAUCGUAACUAAGUAUAGUCAGCAGUGAUCCUAUUUCCCAAUAAGGUCCCAUUCUGAGGUCCUGGACUUCAACAUGUGAAUUUUGGGGGCCACAACUCUACCCUGGCAUGCAGAGAGAGAAGGGGGGCGUGGAGUCCCCCUGGGGGGAAGUCCCUUGGGAAGUCACAGGCCCCCUUGGUGGGGCAAUUGGGACGUGGGUGUGAGGGUCCUGGGUACAGGGAGCCUGCCUACCAAGGCUCUGCCGACAGCUAUUUCUAAAUUCCUCGUGGAAAAUACCCUGUGGCCCUCCUCAUCUGGAGCGAGCGACGGGCUGGAGGGUGUCUGAGCCAGGCUGGUGCCGGGGAGCAGAUGUGGGUGGCCCAACCCAGCCCCUUGUUCUUGUUCCCCACCUCCCAGGAAAGGGGGAGGGUGGGCGGAGCCGGCCCUCCUGGGCUCUCUCCUUGGGUCCCGGAGCCACCUGGGGAGGGGAGGCUCAACCCCCUACCUUGGCCAGCUGGCUGCAGGUCUCUCAGGGCUGGCACAGAACAGCUGGGCUUUGCCAGGUGUCCCCCAUCCUGAUGCACGGCCCGGUGGUGCGGUCUCCAGGCCUCCCAGGAUUCUCAGCUGCGCCGUCUCCCCAGUCCCCAAACCCCAGUGGUGGCCGCCAGGGGACUGGACCGUCAGUCUGUGGAGCUGGGGCUGCAGCUGGUGGUGUUUCCAACAAGGGUCUUUUGGCUGCCUGGCUCCAGGGAGAGGCCUCUGGAGGCAAGGGGUAACCUACCGGGAAAGCCUCAAAGGCACCCCCAUCCCCGCCCCGCACAGACUCCACCGGCCCCCCAUGGUUCCUCCAGGCCCUCUUCAGUCAUGACAGGCAGUGCCUGGGUGCCCGGCCUGCUCAGCACACCCUGGGCCUCAGCCCCACCCAAGCCUUGGCCUAGCAUGGGAGCCACCACGGGAACACACACACGGGCUGGAGGGUGUCUGAGCCAGGCUGGUGCCGGGGAGCAGAUGCGUCAGAUGGAGGAGAAAAGCCCUGGGGCAGCGGCUUCUGGAGCUCUGGCCAAGGAUGGGCUCUGAGCACACCCCUGCCCGGCCCAGAGCACCAGGCCGGGGCAGGGUCAGGAACAGCUUGAAGCCCCCUGCAAAGUCUGUCCCUCCUCCUGGAGCCUCAGCUGCCCCUCCAACACAGCCCUCUGUGGGAGCCUAGAUGGCCCCCGUGUGGCCAUGAGACAUGGGCGGGCGCUGGUGGAUUCCUCUGUGUCAGGUGACAUGGUGGCACCCCGGCCGCAGGCUGUGCCCCGGCUGUGGCGUUAAGAAGGGCUAUGGAUCUAAAUAAAAUCCAGUCUCUUUGCUGG